rnacentral:rRNA from 1 species
UGGGGAAUAUUGCACAAUGGGCGCAAGCCUGAUGCAGCCAUGCCGCGUGUAUGAAGAAGGCCUUCGGGUUGUAAAGUACUUUCAGCGGGGAGGAAGGGAGUAAAGUUAAUACCUUUGCUCAUUGACGUUACCCGCAGAAGAAGCACCGGCUAACUCCGUGCCAGCAGCCGCGGUAAUACGGAGGGUGCAAGCGUUAAUCGGAAUUACUGGGCGUAAAGCGCACGCAGGCGGUUUCUUAAGUCUGAUGUGAAAGCCCCCGGCUCAACCGGGGAGGGUCAUUGGAAACUGGGAGACUUGAGUGCAGAAGAGGAGAGUGGAAUUCCAUGUGUAGCGGUGAAAUGCGUAGAUAUAUGGAGGAACACCAGUGGCGAAGGCGGCCCCCUGGACGAAGACUGACGCUCAGGUGCGAAAGCGUGGGGAGCAAACAGG